GCCAUUCCUCUGAAGUCUGUGUCUGAUAUCCAUCAGCAGUACUUAAAACCACACAUCCCUUUUUGAAAUAACAAAACAGAUAAGCCGAAUAGAAAAUAAAACCUUUAACAGGCGAACUAAGAUGCUUUCAUGCAUUUUAUGCUAAAACCCUACCAAGUAUCUUUAAAAACUCUCUACCUGCGUUCACCUCAUCCCCUGAUUCGCAUUGUCCUCAGUAACGAAGACCUCACUGCCUAUCACUAACACCAAUUAGCUCACACCAAACUUCAGGACGCCAAGGAAAAGGAAAAAUCACUCUUCCAGCAGCGGUCAUUUAAGAAAAAAAAAAAUCGAUAAUGUGGAACUCCCUCCAAAAUUAGCCUACACCGUGAUAUAAAUUGGUUUUCUUUGUGAUCUAAAAUUGACUCGCCGUUCACUAGUUAGAAAAUAGUUGCUGAAAAGCCGGGGCCUUGGAGCUUUCGGAUCCUGCUCGCCUUUCAUCAUGUAAACAAACGCAUCAGAUUUAAAGCUUUCCCAUAAUUGUUAUGCUAACCUUGGAGCGCAACCUCUCCAUUUGCAUUUGAAGGAGCUAAAUAUUAGGCAGGAAAGAAAGUGCUCUUUUUGAAAGCCUGAGAAAAUGUCCCCGCUCGGGGCUGCUCCGCCAUCUGGGCCGCGGGCUGGGCGCGCGGCUCCCGCCCCCAGCUCCUUGGCAGAGGCGCCGGAGGAAGGGGCGCCGCGAAGGGCCGUCAUCUUGUUGGAAAAGAAUGCAGAAAUGCCCCCCGAAGGCUGAAUGAGCGCCACUUCCACACUCAGGGCGGGGGAGGCCGGGGGACGUGGGAGCGGCGCACCAGGAGCAAGGCGUCCCUGGUGACAGCGCGUCCCGAGGGCUCUCCCUUUUCCCAGAGCGCAUUCCAAAGGCCGACUCCUUUGCAGGCUCCACGAGCCCCAUUCGCGGUGGAGAGGGGCGUUCCAGGCUGCAGGUUAGAAAGCUGCUCUGUUGAAUAAGAGCCCAAAUGAUGAGUACAUUCUUCAAAGAGACAAACUAAGGUAACCCUGAUUGUUAUGUUGACUUUGUUAAAGGCAAUGGCCCAAAGCAUUAGCAAUUAAAGCUCAUUUAAAAUUAAUUUAAUUUUCAGGAGCCCAUAAGCUCAUAAAAUCAGACACAUGUAAAAUAAACAGCUACAGAUGCAUUUUUGAAACCUAAUAGUUUCCAAAGUGAAAAGAUAGAACAAGAGAAGGAGAAAGAAAAGGGAAUAAAGAGAAAGUGCCCAAUAUUAGUCUAAGAAGCUUGUCUUUUGAGCCCCUGGUCCACUGUUUCAAAGACAGGAUUAGUUAGUUCACAUAGUAAAAUUUCAAGUUGCUGAAGCAUCAUUGUGCUUCUCUUCAGAAUGGAGCCAAAUUAGAUGAAGACAUUGGAAAAUGCUUCUCUGGGAAAAUACUAAUUUUGUACACAUUUCUCAAAACAGAUCAGAGCUCCCAUUUCUACUACCUUAACUUUGCAGAAAUUAAUUAACUACUUUCGGCAGUAGAGUAUUACCCAAGCUUUACACUGAUGAAAGCUUCAACUGUUCCUCACAACUUUUAGACACAGGCUUUUAGAUGACCAAACAUGGGUUUUGGGAAAAGUGAUUAAUAUAUCUAAACAGUGGUCCAACUUUUAUUUUUUAAAAAUAAAAUGAAAGAGCAGAAACGCCUUAUUUUCAAAAUAAAGGUUGGGAG
rnacentral:lncRNA from 1 species